rnacentral:rRNA from 1 species
CAAUCUAUGUCGGCGACCGGCGCACGGGUGCGUAACGCGUAUGCAACCUACCCAUUACAGGGGGAUAACACUGAGAAAUCGGUACUAAUACCCCAUAACAUCCAGGGAGGCAUCUUCUUGGGUUGAAAACUCCGGUGGUAAUGGAUGGGCAUGCGUUGUAUUAGUUAGUUGUGGGGUAACGGCUCACCAAGACAACGAUACAUAGGGGGACUGAGAGGUUAACCCCCCACAUUGGUACUGAGACACGGACCAAACUCCUACGGGAGGCAGCAG